rnacentral:sRNA from 1 species
AGUGGGCGGAAGAGGUGGCUCCGGAUGCUGCGGCGCCCGCUGGCCGGGCUGGCUGCGGCCGCCCUGGGCCGGGCCCCACCGGACGGCUUGCUCUGCUCUUUACCUGGGGUUGCUGUCGAGGACCCUGUGCAAGACUCGGCCGGUUUUUCUUUCUCCCUGAUGGACAGACCCAAACAUAGCCGCGCAGCAUCGUGAAGGGCUGGGGCCUUCACUCCUCUGUGGCUCUGGAAGAGCCCGGUUUCCUCAGGAGGUAAAGGAAUGUUCCUGUCCCCCGGGGGAAAGAAAGUGAAAACGAAAGCGCCCUGGCUGCUCCUGGUGUGGUCCCAUUUAAAACGAGGUUGCUGAAGGCCAGGACGCGUGCUACCCGGAUGUGUGCCCAGAAACCCUGCAGCCAAGAGCAGCCGCCUGGACCACCAGCCUCCCCUUCAUCCAGCUGGCCCAGCCCAGAGCCCAGGCCCACGUCUGGUGGUUUGUGUCUUACGAGAGGCCAGGCGGGGGCUGACUUCUCUCGGUUCUCAGAAGGUCAAGCCCUCUGUUACCAUCUCCUCGAACAGUGGGCCGGGGGCAAGGUGGUGACUCUGUUCAGUCCUUAGGAUGGCUGGAAGCCAGAAGGAGGAGAUUAUGCCGCCACAGCAGGGAGUGCCUUUCCAGGAAAGCGGCUGCUGGGGCAGCAUGGGAGCCCAGUCCAGGGAGCGUUCUGGCAGAGACCAUUCCGGAACAUGGAUCUGCGCCGGCGGCUCCCAGGAGACCUUCCAUCUCGGAGCUCCUGUGGAGACCACGUGCCUGGCAGGUCC